GAUGAACGCUGGCGGCGUGCCUAAUACAUGCAAGUCGAGCGAACGGACGAGAAGCUUGCUUCUCUGAUGUUAGCGGCGGACGGGUGAGUAACACGUGGAUAACCUACCUAUAAGACUGGGAUAACUUCGGGAAACCGGAUCUAAUACCGGAUAAUAUUUUGAACCGCAUGGUUCAAAAGUUAAAUACGGUCUUGCUGUCACUUAUAGAUGGAUCCUCGCUGCAUUAGCUAGUUGGUAAGGUAACGGCUUACCAAGGCAACGAUGCAUAGCCGACCUGAGAGGGUGAUCGGCCACACUGGAACUGAGACACGGUCCAGACUCCUAAGGGAGGCAGCAGUAGGGAAUCUUCCGCAAUGGGCGAAAGCCUGACGGAGCAACGCCGCGUGAGUGAUGAAGGUCUUCGGAUCGUAAAACUCUGUUAUUAGGGAAGAACAUAUGUGUAAGUAACUGUGCACAUCUUGACGGUACCUAAUCAGAAAGCCACGGCUAACUACGUG
rnacentral:rRNA from 1 species